rnacentral:rRNA from 1 species
AGCGAGCGCUGGCGGCAGGCCUAACACAUGCAAGUCGAACGAACUCUUCGGAGUUAGUGGCGGACGGGUGAGUAACACGUGGGAACGUGCCUUUAGGUUCGGAAUAACUCAGGGAAACUUGUGCUAAUACCGAAUGUGCCCUUCGGGGGAAAGAUUUAUCGCCUUUAGAGCGGCCCGCGUCUGAUUAGCUAGUUGGUGAGGUAAAGGCUCACUAAGGCGACGAUCAGUAGCUGGUCUGAGGGGAUGAUCAGCCACAUUGGGACUGAGACACGGCCCAAACUCCUACGGGAGGCAGCAGUGGGGAAUCUUGCGCAAUGGGCGAAAGCCUGACGCAGCCAUGCCGCGUGAAUGAUGAAGGUCUUAGGAUUGUAAAUCUUUCACCGGGGACGAUAAUGACGGUACCCGGAGAAGAAGCCCCGGCUAACUUCGUGCCAGCAGCCGCGGU